rnacentral:rRNA from 1 species
UUUAUGGAGAGUUUGAUCCUGGCUCAGGAUGAACGCUGGCGGCGUGCCUAAUACAUGCAAGUCGAGCGAACGGACGAGAAGCUUGCUUCUCUGAUGUUAGCGGCGGACGGGUGAGUAACACGUGGAUAACCUACCCAUAAGACUGGGAUAACUUCGGGAAACCGGAGCUAAUACCGGAUAAUAUUUUGAACCGCAUGGUUCAAAAGUGAAAGACGGUCUUACUGUCACUUAUGGAUGGAUCCGCGCUGCAUUAGCUAGUUGGUAAGGUAACGGCUUACCAAGGCAACGAUGCAUAGCCGACCUGAGAGGGUGAUCGGCCACACUGGAACUGAGACACGGUCCAGACUCCUACGGGAGGCAGCAGUAGGGAAUCUUCCGCAAUGGGCGAAAGCCUGACGGAGCAACGCCGCGUGAGUGAUGAAGGUCUUCGGAUCGUAAAACUCUGUUAUUAGGGAAGAACAUAUGUGUAAGUAACUGUGCACAUCUUGACGGUACCUAAUCAGAAAGCCACGGCUAACUACGUGCCAGCAGCCGCGGUAAUACGUAGGUGGCAAGCGUUAUCCGGAAUUAUUGGGCGUAAAGCGCGCGUAGGCGGUUUUUUAAGUCUGAUGUGAAAGCCCACGGCUCAACCGUGGAGGGUCAUUGGAAACUGGAAAACUUGAGUGCAGAAGAGGAAAGUGGAAUUCCAUGUGUAGCGGUGAAAUGCGCAGAGAUAUGGAGGAACACCAGUGGCGAAGGCGACUUUCUGGUCUGUAACUGACGCUGAUGUGCGAAAGCGUGGGGAUCAAACAGGAUUAGAUACCCUGGUAGUCCACGCCGUAAACGAUGAGUGCUAAGUGUUAGGGGGUUUCCGCCCCUUAGUGCUGCAGCUAACGCAUUAAGCACUCCGCCUGGGGAGUACGACCGCAAGGUUGAAACUCAAAGGAAUUGACGGGGACCCGCACAAGCGGUGGAGCAUGUGGUUUAAUUCGAAGCAACGCGAAGAACCUUACCAAAUCUUGACAUCCUUUGACAACUCUAGAGAUAGAGCCUUCCCCUUCGGGGGACAAAGUGACAGGUGGUGCAUGGUUGUCGUCAGCUCGUGUCGUGAGAUGUUGGGUUAAGUCCCGCAACGAGCGCAACCCUUAAGCUUAGUUGCCAUCAUUAAGUUGGGCACUCUAAGUUGACUGCCGGUGACAAACCGGAGGAAGGUGGGGAUGACGUCAAAUCAUCAUGCCCCUUAUGAUUUGGGCUACACACGUGCUACAAUGGACAAUACAAAGGGCAGCGAAACCGCGAGGUCAAGCAAAUCCCAUAAAGUUGUUCUCAGUUCGGAUUGUAGUCUGCAACUCGACUACAUGAAGCUGGAAUCGCUAGUAAUCGUAGAUCAGCAUGCUACGGUGAAUACGUUCCCGGGUCUUGUACACACCGCCCGUCACACCACGAGAGUUUGUAACACCCGAAGCCGGUGGAGUAACCUUUUAGGAGCUAGCCGUCGAAGGUGGGACAAAUGAUUGGGGUGAAGUCGUAACAAGGUAGCCGUAUCGGAAGGUGCGGCUGGAUCACCUCCUUUCU